rnacentral:rRNA from 1 species
CUGGCUCCUGGAUUAGUACUACACUGCGUGAGCGGACGAAAACAAAAACACCUAAAAUGUGGAAUAUAGCAUAUAGUCGACAAGAGAAAUCUACGAAAAACAAACAAAACUUUCAACAACGGAUCUCUUGGUUCUCGCAUCGAUGAAGAGCGCAGCGAAAUGCGAUACCUAGUGUGAAUUGCAGCCAUCGUGAAUCAUCGAGUUCUUGAACGCACAUUGCGCCCCUCGGCAUUCCGGGGGGCAUGCCUGUUUGAGCGUCGUUUCCAUCUUGCGCGUGCGCAGAGUUGGGGGAGCGGAGCGGACGACGUGUAAAGAGCGUCGGAGCUGCGACUCGCCUGAAAGGGAGCGAAGCUGGCCGAGCGAACUAGACUUUUUUUCAGGGACGCUUGGCGGCCGAGAGCGAGUGUUGCGAGACAACAAAAAGCUCGACCUCAAAUCAGGUAGGAAUACCGCUGAACUUAAGCAUAUCAAUAAGCCGGAGGAAAAAGGAUCAUUACUGUGGAUUUAGUACUACACUGCGUGAGCGGAACGAAAACAAACCCUAAAAUGUGGGAAUAUAGCAUAUAGUCGACAAGGGAAAUCUCAAAAAAAAACAAAACUUUCACAACGGAUCUCUUGGGUUCUGCAUCGAUGAAGAGCGCAGCGAAAUGCGAUACCUAGUGUGGAAUUGCAGCCAUCGUGGAAUCAUCGAGUUUCUUGAACGCAAAUUGCGCCCUCGGCAUUUCGGGGGGGCAUGCCUGUUUUGAAGCGUCGUU